AUCCAGCUGAUGAGUCUGAAAUAGGAUGAAACGCAUGUUUUGGAU
rfam:Schistosoma mattheei strain Denwood, Zambia genome assembly, scaffold: SMTD_contig0000449